rfam:Dipodomys ordii contig_31733, whole genome shotgun sequence.
GGGAAAGUGGCUCAGUGGUAGAGUGCUUGCCUUGCAUGCACGAGGCCCUGGGUUCAAUUCCUCAGCACCA